rnacentral:rRNA from 1 species
UACGGAGGGCGCAAGCGUUAUCCGGAUUCACUGGGUUUAAAGGGUGCGUAGGCGGACUGGUAAGUCCGUGGUGAAAUCCCCGAGCUUAACUUGGGAACUGCCAUGGAUACUAUUAGUCUUGAAUGUCGUGGAGGUUUGCGGAAUAUGUCAUGUAGCGGUGAAAUGCUUAGAUAUGACAUAGAACACCAAUUGCGAAGGCAGCAGGCUGCACGAUUAUUGACGCUGAGGCACGAAAGCGUGGGGAUCAAACAGG